rnacentral:rRNA from 1 species
UACGUAGGGGGCAAGCGUUGUCCGGAUUUAUUGGGCGUAAAGAGCGUGUAGGCGGCCAGGUAGGUCCGUUGUGAAAACUCGAGGCUCAACCUCGAGACGCCGAUGGAAACCAUCUGGCUAGAGUCCGGAAGAGGAGAGUGGAAUUCCCGGUGUAGCGGUGAAAUGCGCAGAUAUCGGGAAGAACACCCGUGGCGAAAGCGGCUCUCUGGAACGGUACUGACGCUGAGACGCGAAAGCGUGGGGAGCGAACAGG